rnacentral:tRNA from 1 species
GGGACUGUGGCUCAGUGGUAGAGUGCUUGCGUAGUAUGCAGGAAGCCUGGGUUUGAUUCCUCAGUACCA